GUUGGGUCUCCCAUCUUUCAUUGGCCAAAAUGGGUCCAAAAACCCCAAAAUUGGGCACUUUUGCGGUGUGUUUUCCCCCCACAUGACUACCAGUUGGGUCUCCCUUCUUCCCGUUGGCCAAAAUGGGUCCAAAAACCCCAAAUUUGGGCACUUUUGGGGUGUGUUUUCCCCCCAAACCCCAAACAUUGGAUCUCCCAACACAACCGGAUGGGUCUACCAUCUUUCAUUGGCCAAAAUGGGUCCAAAAACCCCAAGUUUAGGCACUUUUGGGGUAUCUUUUCCCCCCAAAUCACUACCAGUUGGGUCUCCCAUCUUCCCGUUGGCCAAAAUGGGUCCAAAAACCCCAAAUUUGGGCACUUUUGGGGUGUGUUUUCCCCCCAAACCCCAAACAUUGGAUCUCCCAACACAACCGGAUGGGUCUACCAUCUUUCAUUGGCCAAAAUGGGUCAAAAAAACCCCAAAUUGGGCACUUUUGGGGUGUUUUCCCCCCCAAACCCCACACAUUGGAUCUCCCAACACCACCAGUUGGCUCUACCAUCUUUCAUUGCCCAAAAUGGGUCAAAAAACCCCAAAUUUGGGCACUUUUGGGGUGUUUUCCCCCCCAAACCCCAAACAUUGGAUCUCCCAACACCACCAGUUGGGUCUACCAUCUUUCAUUGGCCAAAAUGGGUCAAAAAACCCCAAAAUUGGGCACUUUCGAGGUGUGUUUUCCCCCCAAACCCCACACAUUGGAUCUCCCAACACAACUGGUUGGCUCUACCAUCUUUCAUUGGCCAAAAUGGGUCCAAAAACCCCAAAUUGGGGCACUUUUGAGGUGUGUUUUCCCCCCAAAUCACCACCAGUUGGGUCUCCCAUCUUUCAUUGGCCAAAAUGGGUCCAAAAACCCCAAAUUUGGGCACUUUUGAGGUGCGUUUUCCCCCCAAAUCACCACCAGUUGGGUCUCCCAUCUUUCAUUGGCCAAAAUGGGUCAAAAAACCCCAAAAUUGGGCACUUUUGGGGUGUUUUCCCCCCCCAAAGUCCCCCCACCCGGUUGGGGGCAGCCAUGAGAACCGCUUGGGUUGGAGCCGCCCCAUUCAACCCCAUUAUGGGGUUGGGGGGGGUCUCAAUUCUGUGCCCCCCACCCCAAUAUAUCCCCUAUAUCCUCCCCCCCCCCCUCCCCCCAACCCCAAACCUGAGGAUUUUGGGGGUAUUUUGGGGGUCAUUUUGAGGGUUUUCUGCCCCGGAAUGAACUCCGGAUUUAACUUAAAUUAAAACUUCUAUUCUCAAUUUCACAUUGACCCCAAAUUGCCUUUUCUUCACCCAUUUCUGAGUCUGAAAAGUGGUGGUUUUUGUUCACCGAACCCACUGUUUUAAUGCCUCAAACCCCCAUUUUUCACCCCAAAAUCCCCUCUAAACCCCCAUUUUUCACCCCCCAUCCCCUCAAAAACUCCCCAAACCCCCAUUUUUCACCCCAAAAUCCCCUCAAAAGCCCCAUUUUCCACCCCAAAACCACCCCAAAAUCCCCUCCAAACCCCCACAGCCCCCAUUUUCCACCCCAAAACCCCCCCAAACCGCCAUUUUCCUACCCCAGAAUCCCCAUUUUCCACCCCAAAACCACCCCAAAAUCCCCUCUAAACCCUCAAACCCCCCAAUUUCCACCCCAAACCCCCAUUUUUCACCCCAAAACCUCCCCCGAACCCCCCAUUUCCCACCCAAAAAUCCCCCAAACCCCAAUUUCUACCCCAAAACCCCCCACAACCCACCCAUUUUCCACCCCAAAACCACCCCAAAAUCCCUUCCAAACCCUCAACCCCCCCAAUUUCCACCCCAAACCCCCCUUUUCCACCCCAAAAUCCCCUCCAAACCCCCAACCCCCCCAUUUUUCUACCCCAAACCCCCAUUUUCCACCCCAAAAUCCCCCCAACCCCCCCAUUUUCCACCCCAAAACCACCCCAAAAUCCCUUCCAAACCCUCAACCCCCCCAUUUUCCACCCCAAACCCCCCCCAAACCGCCAUUUUCCUACCCCAGAAUCCCCAUUUUCCACCCCAAAACCACCCCAAAAUCCCCUCUAAACCCUCAAACCCCCCAAUUUCCACCCCAAACCCCCAUUUUUCACCCCAAAACCUCCCCCGAACCCCCCAUUUCCCACCCAAAAAUCCCCCAAACCCCAAUUUCUACCACAAAACCCCCCACAACCCACCCAUUUUCCACCCCAAAACCACCCCAAAAUCCCCUCCAAACCCCCAUAGCCCCCAAUUUCCACCCCAAACCCCCCUUUUCCACCCCAAAAUCCCCUCCAAACCCCCAACUCCCCCAUUUUUCUACCCCAAACCCCCAUUUUCCACCCCAAAAUCUCCCCAACCCCCCCAUUUUCCACCCCAAAACCACCCCAAAAUCCCUUCCAAACCCUCAACCCCCCCAUUUUCCACCCCAAAAUCCCCCCCAAACCCCCAACCCCCCCAUUUUUCACCCCAAAACCACCCCAAAAUCCCCUCCAAACCCCCACAGCCCCCAUUUUCCACCCCAAAACCCCCCCAAACCGCCAUUUUCCUACCCCAAAAUCCCCAUUUUCCACCCCAAAACCACCCCAAAAUCCCCUCUAAACCCUCAAACCCCCCAAUUUCCACCCCAAACCCCCAUUUUUCACCCCAAAACCUCCCCCGAACCCCCCAUUUCCCACCCAAAAAUCCCCCAAACCCCAAUUUCUACCCCAAAACCCCCCACAACCCACCCAUUUUCCACCCCAAAACCACCCCAAAAUCCCCUCCAAACCCCCAUACCCCCCAAUUUCCACCCCAAACCCCCAUUUCCCCCCCAAACCCCCCAAAACCCCCCCCCAAAAAGACCCCCACAGCGCUUCAGGCUCUAUUUAUUACUACAGACAGAGGAACACAGCGACCGACAACAGCCAAAAAUGCCCUUUUUUUUCCCCCCCAAAGUCCCCAUUUUUGCCCAUUUUCGCCCUUUUUCACCCCAAUUUUCGGCCCCUCCGUCCUCUUUCCCCCCCCCCCCCCCUCCACCCCAUUCUUUACCAUUUCCCCUCCAUCGCAACGGCCGUUUUUAACCCUUUUUAACCUUUUUUUUUUUACCCCUUUUCGCGCCCCAAACCCACCCAAAAUCGCCGUUUUUUCACCCAAUUUUGGGCCGAAAACCCCUCGUUUGCCAUAUAACCCCAUUGGGGCGGCGUGUGGGGGAGGGGGGGGGAAGAAAACCCCAAACCCCCCCCCACCCCAAAUCCCACUUUUUCAG
ensembl:lncRNA